UGUUCCUCUCUCUAGAAAGCUUCUUCUUCUUCCUCUACCUUCUCUCUAAUCUCCACACUGCACCAUCCAUUGCAUUGUCAUUUAGGUGGCGUCCCCGCGUUCCUAGAGUCGGGAGUUCCGUUUUGAACCGAACGUUUUCUUCAUUCCUACUGGUCCUGUUUGGUUCUCCGCUGUGGGGUCCUGUUUAAAGUAUUCUAGCAAGUUGUACUGCUCAACUUCCAGUAGGUGAUGAUGUACCCUUGGAGCAAGCGUUGGAGAAUGAGGAGGACCCAGCUCCUAGUGCUUAGGAUUUCUACUAGCUAUUAUGUUAAAUAGCUCUUUAUUUUGAAAGACUUCUAGCCUUCAUUUUUUUUUAGCAUGAUCUGUGUUUUGGAGAAUUGUGAACUUGUACUUAAGUUUUAAAAGUUUUCCAGCCAGA